rnacentral:rRNA from 1 species
AUUGAACGCUGGCGGCAUGCCUUACACAUGCAAGUCGAACGGUAACGCGGGGCAACCUGGCGACGAGUGGCGAACGGGUGAGUAAAGCAUCGGAACGUGCCCAGUAGUGGGGGAUAGCCCGGCGAAAGCCGGAUUAAUACCGCAUACGACCUAUGGGUGAAAGGGGGGGAUCGCAAGACCUCUCGCUAUUGGAGCGGCCGAUGUCAGAUUAGGUAGGUGGUGGGGUAAAGGCCUACCAAGCCGACGAUCGGUAGCUGGUCUGAGAGGACGACCGGCCACACUGGGACUGAGACACGGCCCAGCCUCCUACGGGAGGCAGCAGUGGGGAAUUUUGGACAAUGGGCGCAAGCCUGAUCCAGCCAUGCCGCGUGCGGGAAGAAGGCCUUCGGGUUGUAAACCGCUUUUGUCAGGGAAGAAAUCCUUUGGGUUAAUACCUCGGGGGGAUGACGGUACCUGAAGAAUAAGCACCGGCUAACUACGUGCCAGCCGCCGCGGUAA